UGAUUCAGCAGGCCACACAAACAAUUUUAAAAUUAAGCAAGAAAUAUGUCUCUUUUUUGUUUGCAUAUGUCAUUCCCCAUACUUUUCACAAUUGUUUAUUCGUUUAACACUUGUUUUCAUUGUAGAAAAUCACCUGCUAGUCUGUUUUUCAAAAGAUGACUUCUCUAAUAUACCACUUUCCAGGUGCCCAAGGUUGUAGAGGCAUAUACAUUUUAGGGUUUUAAUGAGCUGUCAGGAUUUUAAUGAGUUACACACAUUAUAAAUUUCCACACUAUCUCAUCCUGUAGCAUCUCCCUCCUUCUGUAUUCUCUAUAUUCAUAAGUGCAGUCACGUAGGCCAUAAGACUUACACCGUCAGUUAAUUUGGCCUUGAGGCCUUCAUAAUGCACCUGGCUCUCAUAAUGCACAUGGCAGAAUAGCUUAUAGAAACAUACAAAGUAACUUCUUCAAAUGUUUUAUAUAGGAUAUAAAAUAUUUAAUCACACACGGUAACCCAUAUUGUUUACUCUCACUGAGUCAACAUACACUGACUGGUGACAUGUCUUCUUUUCACUCCACCCAUUCUGUUAAAGGUCAAAGUCAAAGCAAACAUCUCCGUAUAGUUUACUGCACGGCCACAACAAGGAGAGAGAGAAAAUUUACAGAAGCGGCGAGUGAAUCUGCGAGUGAACAUUCAGACCAGGAACAUCUCAGGAAACAGAAGGAAAUUCAGAAAGAGAUGGAAGGACUGAUACAAGAGAUUGCUAGAGAGAGUUCAAACAUUGGUAAAUAUUAAGCAUUUUUUAGUUCCUUUUAAUUCUAAGAGAGAUUUCAAGUAAAGAGGUUAAAGAUAUAUAUAUCUGCUGUGGAGUCAAUACAUUUGCACAUAUGAUUAGAAAAAGUUCAUUAUUUUCCAUAAUGUAAUGAUAAAAAUUAAACUUUCAUAUAUUUUAGAUUCAUUGCACACCAACUGAAAUAUUUCAGGUCUUUUAUUGUUUUAAUACUGAUGAUUUUGGCAUCAAACUCAUGAAAACCCAAAAAAUCUCAAAAAAUUAGCAUAUCAUGAAAAGGUUCUCUAAACGAGCUAUUAACCUAAUCAUCUGAAUCAACUAAUUAACUCUAAACACCUGCAAAAGAUUCCUGAGGCUUUUAAAAACUCCCAGCCUGGUUCAUUACUCAAAACCGCAAUCAUGGGUAAGA
ensembl:lncRNA